UAGGGAAUAUUGCACAAUGGAGGAAACUCUGAUGCAGCGACGCCGCGUGAGUGAUGAAGGCCUUCGGGUCGUAAAGCUCUGUCGUAUGGGACUAACACAAUGAAGGUACCAUGCAAGAAAGGAUCGGCUAACUUCGUGCCAGCAGCCGCGGUAAGACGAGGGAUCCUAGCGUUGUUCGGAAUUAUUGGGCGUAAAGCGGGUGUAGGCGGACUUAUAAGUCAGGUGUGAAAUCCCAGGGCUCAACCCUGGAAGUGCAUUUGAUACUGCAAGUCUUGAGUGUGGUAGAGGCUAUUAGAAUUCCUGGUGUAGUGGUGAAAUACGUAGAUAUCAGGAGGAAUACCGGAGGCGAAGGCGGAUAGCUGGGCCAACACUGACGCUGAGACCCGAAAGCGUGGGGAUCAAACAGGAUUAGAUACCCAGGUAUUCCCUGAGCGGGCUGGCAAGGCGCAU
rnacentral:rRNA from 1 species